GUGCCUAGGAGUGAAAGUCGAGCGAACUUGUGGGAGCUUGCUCCCGCAAGUUUGCCGNGGACGGGUGAGAUAACACGUGGGCAACCUGCCCUGUACUCUGGGAUAACUCCGGGAAACCGGGGCUAAUACCGGAUGUUGUUGUCGGAACGCAUGUUCUGAUUACUAAAGCUCCGGCGGUAUAGGAUGGGCCCGCGGUCCAUUAGCUAGUUGGUAGGGUAAUGGCCUACCAAGGCGACGAUGGGUAGCUGGUCUGAGAGGACGAUCAGCCACACUGGGACUGAGACACGGCCCAGACUCCUACGGGAGGCAGCAGUGG
rnacentral:sRNA from 1 species